UCGUCCCGCGCUCCCCGCCGCCGCGGCCCAGUCUCCUGCUCCUCGCCGUUGUUGGCCUCUUCCCCGUCGCCACCGCUCGCGCGCGCCAUGGCGCGGCCGAUCUCCGCAGGGCUGGCGCGGGUCUCCUCCUCCUCCCCCAAUCCCAUCGCUCCUCCCUUGUUGUUCCCCGCGUCUUUCUCCUCUCCGCCUCCCUGGACAACCACCAGCCAGCAGGAGCAGCGAAUCCCCGCGCACAAGCUCCUCCCCAAUCCCCUGCUUCGUUGCUCCUCCCAAUCCCCUUCGACCCCGUGCCGCCGCCACCACCCCUCUCUCCUCCGGCCUGCCUCCUCCCUAGUGCUCAGUAGGAGGAGCAAGAGAUUCCACCAGGGGCGUCAAACCACAUCGGAGGGGGCUGAGCCAAGGUGAGCACCUUCUUCCCAUCCCGUGCAUCCUUUAUGGAGGACGAGGAUGAGCCAUGGAAGGGGAAGGACCUCAUUUUUUCUUCCCUGUUAGCCGGCCGUACGGACGUCCGUGCUUGCCGCCGCUGCUCCACCUCUUCAUCCUCUGCAUCUAAAGGUGAAGCACGUGCUGAUGAACGAGGACAGCGAGCCAGGAAGGUGUUUGACGAAAAUCCUUGAGGGAAACAUUAUAGGUGUCUGACAAGGAGGAAUAGGACGUGACGGGGGAGAAGGCAUGUGCCCGCAGCGACGAGGAUUUGGAGGAUGCGAAGAUGGCUUCUUCUUCAUCCGGGACCUGCAGAUGUCUGUAUCAUAGGUCGGAGAUGUGUGUGAAGGUGUUGAUUUUGCACAUAUUUGGUUGUAGCUUUGGCUUGUGAAUACCCGUGUACACUUGGGCAGAAGUAUGAGGAAUUAUGUCGGUGGUUUGCUCGCUAACAGACUGGAAGACCAAUGCUGAUGUCACCAUCGCCAUACUUCUCUCAGCUACAUGGAUGUGAGUGCAUUCACACAGUAUAGAGGUUCCCCUCUUGCUGCUACUCCACCUGGAGGAGCGCCAUCUUGGUCACCGGACGGUCAUCCUCGUGUCGACAUGGUUGCGUGUAUAUUUGGUUACCUUUUUCUCUGCAGCUUAGUAAAUGAGAGAAAUGGAGUUCUACACAGUGGCAAGGCAGAGUUGAAACUUCUGUGAUCCGGGUAUUGCAGAAAGAUUUUUCACAUAGGGAUGACGUUUCUUUAGAUGUUCAAGAAUGUAUGCUUAUGUUCAAAUCAAAUUUAUAGAUUGGAUUAGGCUCAUAUGCUUAAGCCAAGCUCAGGUUUAAGUGCGCUUCUCAUCUAAACAAGAGUGCCAUUGCUGUUGUCAAAAUUUAGGGCAAUUGUGUAUGCUUUACAUUCCAGGAUGGAGUUAAUUAAAUUCAGUAUAAAAGAUACUUGGAGUGGGGAGGAACUUGAGCGAGUAUACGGUAAAAAUAAUUUAGGUCGUAAUAUUGUUGAAGAUUGUUGCAAAAAGGUUUCUUCUAUUUCUCUGCUAGAUUUGUGAGUCUGCUCUCUUGCAGGAAAUGGUGGUGUUGGUGCUAUCAGGGAGGGAGGCAUACAAAAAAAAUGCAGGGCAAGCAGAAUCCAAUGUACUCCCCUCCUCCAAUAAGUCCCGGGACCAAGCACGCAAGAUGAGCACCGAGUGUUGCCCUCGGGUCAAGAAUAUUGAGGCUCCCAAGUGUAGUUUGCUAAAGCUUACAGGAAGAGCUUCUGAAGGUUCUCAUGUUCUGUUGUGGUUCUUGCGGGAGAGGUUCGUCAGUCAGGCUUCGCUUCUGUAGAAUGCCGUGAAGAAAGAGCUAGGGGAAGAUAGUCUUGCACCCAUGGUCAUUUUUUUGGAUUUCACUCUCUCUAACUAAAACUCAUGAAAGCUUCUGUCCUUUCAGUUCUGCACUUUUGUGAGCAUGCAGAGGGUACAGAUGCUUGUUGCCAUGGGGAUGAGAUAGUUGCUGGCAACUUUCCUGGUCCAAAUGCUAGGGUAAAUGAUGCAAUGAGGCAAAAACUUAGUUAGCAGUGGUACAGUGUUAUGAUAGUGACGAAAUGUUCAUGUUACUAUGCUUUCACCUUAUUAUGUUAUUAUUAUGAAUAAUAUACUGAGAAACAAAAAGGGCAACGAUGCUUUUUUCGAAUCCUCGAUCUGGCCUAUGUUUUGCGCAGAGUGUUUCUCAAGAUUCCGGGAAAACGAAAAAGUAGGAUUGAGAUGCAACUUGCGAGGGCCUGUCAUUUCCUCAAAAAAUCUUCUGGAUGCUCCAUAAGAAUUCAAGAAAAAACAAGUUUGUGUUCUCUUGCUCCUCUUCAUCAACCGGUAAUUCUUCCCAGCAUCCAGGAAAUGAAA